rnacentral:rRNA from 1 species
GGCUCAACUCAGGGACUGCAUUUGAAACUGGAUAUCUAGAGUGCGGGAGAGGUAAGUGGAAUUCCUAGUGUAGCGGUGAAAUGCGUAGAGAUUAGGAAGAACACCAGUGGCGAAGGCGACUUACUGGACCGCAACUGACACUGAGGCACGAAAGCGUGGGUAGCAAACAGGAUUAGAUACCCUGGUAGUCCACGCCGUAAACGAUGAGUACUAGGUGUAGGGGGUAUCGACUCCCCCUGUGCCGCAGUUAACACAAUAAGUACUCCGCCUGGGAAGUACGAUCGCAAGAUUAAAACUCAAAGGAAUUGACGGGGGCCCGCACAAGCAGCGGAGCAUGUGGUUUAAUUCGAAGCAACGCGAAGAACCUUACCUAGACUUGACAUCCCCUGAAUUACUCGUAACUGAGGAAGCCCUUCGGGGCAGGGAGACAGGUGGUGCAUGGUUGUCGUCAGCUCGUGUCGUGAGAUGUUAGGUUAAGUCCUGCAACGAGCGCAACCCUUAUCAUUAGUUGCUACCAUUCAGUUGAGCACCCUAGUGAGACUGCCCGGGUUAACCGGGAGGAAGGUGGGGAUGACGUCAAAUCAUCAUGCCCCUUAUGUUUAGGGCUACACACGUGCUACAAUGGUGAGUACAAAGAGAUGCAAUCCCGCGAGGGGGAGCCAAACUCU